GCAUUAAUGGGGUAGUGGUAACCUGGGUCGUUGCCAUCCAUAUGUGGGCGUAUUUUCGACCCGCCGGGGGUUCGAUUCCCCCUUAAUGCA